AGCGAACGCGGGCGGCAGGCCUAACACAUGCAAGUCGAACGGAUCCUUCGGGAUUAGUGGCGGACGGGUGAGUAACACGUGGGAACGUGCCCUUUGGUUCGGAACAACUCAGGGAAACUUGAGCUAAUACCGGAUGUGCCCUUCGGGGGAAAGAUUUAUCGCCAUUGGAGCGGCCUGCGUCUGAUUAGCUAGUUGGUGAGGUAAAGGCUCACCAAGGCGACGAUCAGUAGCUGGUCUGAGAGGAUGAUCAGCCACAUUGGGACUGAGACACGGCCCAAACGCCUACGGGAGGCAGCAGUGGGGAAUCUUGCGCGAUGGGCGAAAGCCUGACGCAGCCAUGCCGCGUGAAUGAUGAAGGUCUUAGGAUUGUAAAAUUCUUUCACCGGGGACGAUAAUGACGGUACCCGGAGAAGAAGCCCCGGCUAACUUCGUGCCAGCCGCCGCCGUAAGAC
rnacentral:rRNA from 1 species